AGAUGCUUAUAACAUAGCAUUAAUGCAAUGGAUCCCAUUAGAACUUCGCAGCUAAGCACACUCAAGCUAGAGUAGUACUAGGAUGGGUGAUCGCCUAGGAAGUCCUAGUGUUUUACAUGUC
rnacentral:rRNA from 1 species